rnacentral:rRNA from 1 species
AACGAACGCUGGCGGCGUGCCUAACACAUGCAAGUCGAACGAAGCCUUCGGGCUUAGUGGCGCACGGGUGCGUAACGCGUGGGAAUCUGCCCUUGGGUUCGGAAUAACAGUUAGAAAUGACUGCUAAUACCGGAUGAUGUCUUCGGACCAAAGAUUUAUCGCCCAAGGAUGAGCCCGCGUAGGAUUAGGUAGUUGGUGGGGUAAUGGCCCACCAAGCCGACGAUCCUUAGCUGGUCUGAGAGGAUGAUCAGCCACACUGGGACUGAGACACGGCCCAGACUCCUACGGGAGGCAGCAGUGGGGAAUAUUGGACAACGGGCGAAAGCCUGAUCCAGCAAUGCCGCGUGAGUGAUGAAGGCCUUAGGGUUGUAAAGCUCUUUUACCAGGGAUGAUAAUGACAGUACCUGGAGAAUAAGCUCCGGCUAACUCCGUGCCAGCCGCCGCGGUAA